rnacentral:misc_RNA from 1 species
AGAUAAUUGGUCUAUUUCUAAAAAAUAAAUUGACUUCAAGGAUUCUUUAUUUGGCGCGACAGAAUUUGUAUGUAUAUUUUUACCCUGUAACAAUUGCUUCUUGAAAAUUGUACAUUCAACUGUAAUUGGCUUCCAGAUAAAGCACACUGAAUGAUAAAUCUACUUUUCAUGUUUGUUCUUACCUGACAUUGGAUUGCAAGUGUUUUUUAUUGACCUUAAACAGAUUCCCCUAAUUCUAUGGUUGUAAAGUCUAAUAAACCAUAGUCAUAAUGUUGCUUCAUGAGUACUGUAAUUGAUUUACUGUUUGCACCUUGUUUCAAAUUUGAAAUUUUCCUCUUACACUGUCUUGCUGCUUUUUUAGGCCCACACAUUGGGUAAGAUUCAUUCAACGAUUACGACUUCUUGGAGCAAAUUCAUCAGCAUUAAGAAAUUCAAAAACUUUAACUUCUGAGGAUCUUCUGCAGUUGACUUCAGAAAAUCAUUUAGUAUUGACUCAAGAAUCAAAAACAAGCUCACUACAAAAGUUUCAUGCAGUUAUGGGUUUAG